CCUACGGGGUGCAGCAGUGGGGAAUAUUGCGCAAUGGGCGAAAGCCUGACGCAGCGACGCCGCGUGAGGGAUGAAGGUCUUCGGAUCGUAAACCUCUGUCAGCAGGGAAGAACGGUCACUGUGCUAAUCAGCAGUGAAUUGACGGUACCUGCAAAGGAAGCACCGGCUAACUCCGUGCCAGCAGCCGCGGUAAUACGGAGGGUGCGAGCGUUAAUCGGAUUUACUGGGCGUAAAGCGCUCGUAGGCGGUAUGUCAAGUCAAGGGUGAAAUCCCCGGGCUCAACGUGGGAAAUGCCUUUGAAACGGGCAAACUGGAGUGUGUGAGAGGAGAGUGGAAUUCCAGGUGUAGGAGUGAAAGCCGUAGAUAUCUGGAGGAACAUCAGUGGCGAAGGCGACUAUCUGGCACAUAACUGACGCUGAGGAGCGAAAGCGUGGGUAGCAAACAGGAUUAGAUACCCGAGUAGUC
rnacentral:rRNA from 1 species